rnacentral:rRNA from 1 species
GACGAACGCUGGCGGCGUGCUUAACACAUGCAAGUCGAACGGUAAGGCCCUUCGGGGUACAUGAGUGGCGAACGGGUGAGUAACACGUGGGUGAUCUGCCCUGCACUUCGGGGUAAGCCUGGGAAACUGGGUCUAAUACCGGAUAGGACCACUGCCUGCAUGGGUGGUGGUGGAAAGCUUUUGCGGUGUGGGAUGGGCCCGCGGCCUAUCAGCUUGUUGGUGGGGUGAAGGCCUACCAAGGCGACGACGGGUAGCCGGCCUGAGAGGGUGACCGGCCACACUGGGACUGAGAUACGGCCCAGACUCCUACGGGAGGCAGCAGUGGGGAAUAUUGCACAAUGGGCGCAAGCCUGAUGCAGCGACGCCGCGUGAGGGAUGACGGCCUUCGGGUUGUAAACCUCUUUCAGCACCGACGAAGCGCAAGUGACGGUAGGUGCAGAAGAAGGACCGGCCAACUACGUGCCAGCAGCCGCCGUAA